rnacentral:rRNA from 1 species
CCAAACUGGGAUUAGAUACCCCACUAUGCUCAGCCCUAAACAUAAAUAAUUCACAUAACAAAAUUACUUGCCAGAGAACUACUAGCAAUAGCUUAAAACUCAAAGGACUUGGCGGUGCUUUACAUCCCUCUAGAGGAGCCUGUUCUAUAAUCGAUAAACCCCGAUAAACCUCACCACUUCUAGCUAAAUCAGUCUAUAUACCGCCAUCUUCAGCAAACCCUUAAAAGGAAGAAAAGUAAGCACAAUAAUAAUACAUAAAAAAGUUAGGUCAAGGUGUAACCCAUGAAGUGGGAAGAAAUGGGCUACAUUUUCUAACCAAGAACAUACUCACGAAAGUUUUUAUGAAAACUAAAAACUAAAGGUGGAUUUAGUAGUAAAUUAAGAAUAGAGAGCUUAAUUGAAUAGGGCCAUAAAGCACGCACACACCGCCCGUCACCCUCC